rfam:Oryza glumipatula chromosome 4, whole genome shotgun sequence.
AAAAAGGCAAACCAUAGGUUUUCGUGUCCAAAUUUGACUAUCCGUCUUAUAUGAAAAUUUUUUAUAAUUCGUAUUUUCAUUGUUGUUAGAUGAUAAAACAUGAUUAAUAUUUUAUGCGUGACUUGUCUUUUUAUUUUUUUUAUAAUUUUUUUAAAUUAGAACGGUUAAACGUUGGGCACGAAACAGGGUUUGUCUUUUU